GACGAACGCUGGCGGCGUGCUUAACACAUGCAAGUCGAGCGGUAAGGCCCUUUCGGGGGUACACGAGCGGCGAACGGGUGAGUAACACGUGGGUGACCUGCCCUCAGCUCUGGGAUAAGCCUGGGAAACCGGGUCUAAUACUGGAUAUGACUCCAUGACGCAUGUUGUGGGGUGAAAGCCUUGUGCGGCUGAGGAUGGGCCCNCGGCCUAUCAGCUUGUUGGUGGGGUGAGGCCUACCAAGGCGACGACGGGUAGCCGGCCUGAGAGGGCGACCGGCCACACUGGGACUGAGACACGGCCCAGACUCCUACGGGAGGCAGCAGUGGGGAAUCUUGCGCAAUGGGCGAAAGCCUGACGCAGCGACGCCGCGUGAGGGAU
rnacentral:rRNA from 1 species